UACAGAGGUGGCAAGCGUUGUUCGGAAUUACUGGGCGUAAAGGGCGCGUAGGCGGUUCGUUAAGUCCUGUGUGAAAUCCCCCCGGCUCAACUGGGGAACUGCACAGGAAACCAUCUGGCUAGAGUCCGGGAGAGGAGAGUGGAAUUCCUGGUGUAGCGGUGAAAUGCGCAGAUAUCAGGAAGAACACCAGUGGCGAAGGCGGACUCACUGGUCCGGUACUGCGCUGAGGUGCGAAAAGCGUGGGGGGAGCAAACAGGAU
rnacentral:rRNA from 1 species